rnacentral:snRNA from 1 species
UUACCACUCUGGCCUCUUGGCUAAGAUCAUGUGUAGUAUCUGUUCUUUACAGUCUAACCACUGUAAUGGGGGCAUUGCCCUCUUCACUGGUUAUUCAAUUUUUGACGCCCUUGGUCCCUGCGAGCUCUGUUAUGCAACUCCAGGGGACGCGAUGACGUUGCUAUUGCACUACUGGCUUCAGGUUGUCAGGGGAU